rnacentral:lncRNA from 1 species
GCCACUCUGAAUGAUUCACGCCUUGCAUCCUGAAGCAAGAGGCGUUGACCCAUCACUAAGUUUUGUAGUGACCUGGACAUUGUCCUGGUCCAGGAAGUUGAGGGCGUGUCUUCAGAUGUAGGCGUGUCACCCAGGGAAUUGAGCUACACUCACCUAUUCCUUGGUAAUACUACCCUUUUGCCCUGUUUGGGAUAGAAUGUUCCACGGAAACGUCCUUUGUGUG